GGACGCUUAGCUCAGUUGGUUAGAGCAACCGGCUCAUAACCGGUCGGUCCUGGGUUCGAGCCCCAGAGCGUCCA
rnacentral:tRNA from 2 species